rnacentral:rRNA from 1 species
UACGAAGGGGGCUAGCGUUGCUCGGAAUCACUGGGCGUAAAGCGCACGUAGGCGGCUUCUUAAGUCGGAGGUGAAAUCCUGGAGCUCAACUCCAGAACUGCCUUCGAUACUGGGAAGCUCGAGUCCGGGAGAGGUGAGUGGAACUGCGAGUGUAGAGGUGAAAUUCGUAGAUAUUCGCAAGAACACCAGUGGCGAAGGCGGCUCACUGGCCCGGUACUGACGCUGAGGUGCGAAAGCGUGGGGAGCAAACAGG